rnacentral:rRNA from 1 species
UACAGAGGUCCCAAGCGUUGUUCGGAUUUAUUGGGCGUAAAGGGUGCGUAGGCGGCGGAGUAAGUUGGGUGUGAAAUCCCGGGGCUCAACCUCGGAAUUGCAUUCAAUACUGCUUCGCUAGAGUACUGGAGAGGAGGCUGGAAUUUACGGUGUAGCAGUGAAAUGCGCAGAUAUCGGGAGGAACACCAAUGGCGAAGGCAGCUCGCUGGGACGGUACUGACGCUGAGACGCGAAAAGCGUGGGGGAGCAAACAGG